rnacentral:rRNA from 1 species
UACGUAGGGUGCGAGCGUUGUCCGGAAUUAUUGGGCGUAAAGAGCUCGUAGGCGGUGUGUCGCGUUCGGUCGUGAAAACUUGGGGCUUAACUCUGAGCUUGCGGUCGAUACGGGCAUCACUGGAGUUCGGCAGGGGAGACUGGAAUUCCUGGUGAUAGCGGUGAAAUGCGCAGAGUAUCAGGAGGGAACACCGGUGGCGAAGGCGGGUCUCUGGGCCGAUGACUGACGCUGGAGGAGCGAAAGCCGUGGGGAGCGAACAGG